UGGGGAAUAUUGAACAAUGGGCGAAAGCCUGAUCCAGCCAUGCCGCGUGUGUGAAGAAGGUCUUCGGAUUGUAAAGCACUUUAAGUUGGGAGGAAGGGCAGUAAGUUAAUACCUUGCUGUUUUGACGUUACCGACAGAAUAAGCACCGGCUAACUCUGUGCCAGCAGCCGCGGUAAUACAGAGGGUGCAAGCGUUAAUCGGAAUUACUGGGCGUAAAGCGCGCGUAGGUGGUUUGUUAAGUUGGAUGUGAAAGCCCCGGGCUCAACCUGGGAACUGCAUCCAAAACUGGCAGGCUAGAGUACGGUAGAGGGUGGUGGAAUUUCCUGUGUAGCGGUGAAAUGCGUAGAUAUAGGAAGGAACACCAGUGGCGAAGGCGACCACCUGGACUGAUACUGACACUGAGGUGCGAAAGCGUGGGGAGCAAACA
rnacentral:rRNA from 1 species